GGGCUUUCAGUGAAACACACGAUGACAUAAGGACAGGUGGAUGGGCAAUGUGCACAAUGUUACGGCUUGUUAUGAAAUAAGAUGACGCUCCUAUUAUAAUCUCUAGGGUUGGAUACGGUAAUUGUCUGGGAAUUAUGAAGUAAGAUGACGCUCUUAGUGAUAUUCUGUAGGGUUAGAUGCGGUAAUUGUCUGGGAGUGUCCAGAUCGAAAUAGAUUACCAAGUCCUUGUCAAUGCCUUCAACAAUAUUUACUAUAGAACGACUAUCCAUUUCUUUUUUUUAUUCUUGCCAAGUCCUUGUCGAUGUCUUCAACAAUUUUUUUUAUUCUAUUAAAGAAAGAGGCACGAGCUGGCAGUGAAGGAACAUUCUAACCUCAAACAUGAACUCCAAAAUACCAACGACCAAAAACUUGCGAACAACAAACCAAAAUUUGCAAAGAAAAGUGACAUAAAAAUCACUCAAGAUACGGAAUAAAGAUACAAAUCUAAGUAUCUAACUGCCGAAGAGAAAUACUUCCUCGAAUUCAUACUACUUGUUCAUAUUAUUUGUCUCAAAUUUGUCUAAAAUGGAUGUAUCUAUGUUUAAAAACUCUAGAUACACGUAUUUCGACAAACAGUGAGUCGGAGGGAGUAACAAAAAUCACUCAAAAUCGAUAGAACUACAUAUGAGAAAUAGAUAACCAAGAAAAACAAGACCGUAAAAUUUACAC
rnacentral:lncRNA from 1 species